AGGGAAGCAGCUGGUGCACUACACAGCGCAGCCGCUGUUCCUGCUGGACCCCGGCUCCGUGGACACCGGGAGCAACGACCUGCCGGUGCUGUUUGAGCUGGGAGAGGGCUCCUACUUCUCCGAAGGGGACGGCUUCGCCGAGGACCCCACCAUCUCCCUGCUGACAGGCUCGGAGCCUCCCAAAGCCAAGGACCCCACUGUCUCCUAGAGGCCCCGGAGGAGCUGGGCCAGCCGCCCACCCCCACCCCCAGUGCAGGGCUGGUCUUGGGGAGGCAGGGCAGCCUCGCGGUCUUGGGCACUGGUGGGUCGGCCGCCAUAGCCCCAGUAGGACAAACGGGCUCGGGUCUGGGCAGCACCUCUGGUCAGGAGGGUCACCCUGGCCUGCCAGUCUGCCUUCCCCCAACCCCGUGUCCUGUGGUUUGGUUGGGGCUUCACAGCCACACCUGGACUGACCCUGCAGGUUGUUCAUAGUCAGAAUUGUAUUUUGGAUUUUUACACAACUGUCCCGUUCCCCGCUCCACAGAGAUACACAGAUAUAUACACACAGUGGAUGGACGGACAAGACAGGCAGAGAUCUAUAAACAGACAGGCUCUA
rnacentral:lncRNA from 1 species